CCUCCUCACGUGCUCCUCCACCGGUCUGCGUCCCCGCUCGAGCAGCAGCAGCGGCGACGCCCUCCGCUGCGUCGCGCUCGCCAGGACGGGCCACCCGCCGUCGAUCUCGCAGUCCCCGUCGCGAUGUCGUCAGUCCGCGCUAGCUAUCGGUGUCGCGCCACGUGCUCUGCCUAUGCAACGAAAUGCUAGCCGGUGGACAGCACAUGCGACUCACCGAUCCGGCUAGGUUGCUUUUGUUUCAUUUACGAUUUAGUCGAUGACGUGAAUAUGUGCGUGAAAAUAUAAUUGUAUGAAUGGACGCGAGUAGAAAGAAAAUGAAGUAGAAAAGAACUCGGAUGUUUUUAUAUUUUUAUUUUGAUUGGAAAAUAUGUGAUGCGUUGUUUAAUACGAAAACUAAGUUACAAAA